AACGAACGUUAGCGGCGCGCCUAACACAUGCAAGUCGCACGAGAAAGGGCUUCGGCCCCGGUACAGUGGCGCACGGGUGAGUAACACGUGGGUAAUGUUCCCUCGGGCGGGGGAUAACCUUCCGAAAGGAGGGCUAAUACCGCAUAAGACCACGGCCUCGAAAGGGGCAGCGGUCAAAGCAGGCCUCUUCACGAAAGCUUGCUCCUGAGGAUCAGCCCGCGGCCCAUCAGCUAGUUGGCAGGGUAAUGGCCUACCAAGGCUAAGACGGGU
rnacentral:rRNA from 1 species